CAAGUCGAACGGCAGCGGGGGCUUCGGCCUGCCGGCGAGUGGCGAACGGGUGAGUAAUGCAUCGGAACGUACCCAGUCGUGGGGGAUAACUACGCGAAAGCGUAGCUAAUACCGCAUACGCCCUGAGGGGGAAAGCGGGGGACCUAAGGGUAACUGAGGGCCUCGCGCGAUUGGAGCGGCCGAUAUCGGAUUAGCUAGUUGGUGGGGUAAAGGCUCACCAAGGCGACGAUCCGUAGCGGGUCUGAGAGGACGACCCGCCACACUGGAACUGAGACACGGUCCAGACUCCUACGGGAGGCAGCAGUGGGGAAUUUUGGACAAUGGGGGCAACCCUGAUCCAGCCAUUCCGCGUGAGUGAAGAAGGCCUUCGGGUUGUAAAGCUCUUUCAGCAGGAGCGAAACGGUCGUUUUUAAUACAGACGGCUAAUGACGGUACCUGCAGAAGAAGCACCGGCUAACUACGUGCCAGCAGCCGCGGUAAUA
rnacentral:rRNA from 1 species